rnacentral:lncRNA from 1 species
CUUAGUGUGUUUAAUAAAUAAAUAAAGUGGCUAUGCUAAACUGAAUCUUAAUAAUGAAACUCUAGCAUGGAUAUGAUGAAUAGUUUCUCUGCUUAAUUUUUCAAAUUUGAGUUCUCUCACUUGUUUAGACAUAACUGUUAUAAUUUAAAGCUUGCUCUAGACCUAAACUUGUGGGAUGAAAACUUGAUCUAAAGUCUAUGUUUUUAACGGAUGCGAUAUGGGAGCUGCUUAUCUGUUCCUAGAGAUGCUAAAAUUCUGGAGAGUUUUAUCUUUAAAAAUCUUUAAAAUAUUGCAUGAUGAGUUCCUGUAUGAUGAGAGUUUAAAUUCCUACCACAACCAUAUAUACAUGCUUGCUAGACUUUGAGCCACACAUUUACUUUUUACUGCUUAUGAGCAUUGAGUGUGGUCAAGCUGUGUAGACCAUUAGGAGCUUGUCAUGUGGUUAAAUCAAGAUUCACUUGCACGUUCACUCACACUUGCUGCUUCUACUCCAGAAGUACGCAUCCACAUAUAUCCACUCAUUUCCAUCUCCAGAACCAUCCAUAAAUAUUCUACUCCUAAUCCGGGAGAGAAUAGCCAAAAACAUUCUCCUAUUUCUGUUUUUCCCCCGUGAAAUAAAUGCUCAAGUUAUCUUGGUUACUACCACUUGCUAUAUUAUUUCAGGAGAUGAGUGCUCUAAGAAAAAAAUAGAAAAAGAAAAGAUAUGAGGAAAUAAAAAGGGGCAACUGUCCGGAACCUCGUAAGAAAAGAAAAAGUAAGACGAGAGGUAAAAAUGGACAAGUGUCCGACAGUAGAAUUAGGGGUACAAGAUACCCACCUGAGAGGAAAGAAAAAGAAAAGAUAGAGCAUCUCAUUCUCCUCACAAAGUUUCAAAAAGCAAGAAAGUUAUGUAUCCCCUCAAAGAGCAAAAGUAGAAUUAGACUUUCACCAUUGUUAUCACCAUCAUCACCAUACAACAUUCAUUCGCCACACAUGCACAUCUUGAUUUGACUUAUUGAUUUGUUUCUCUGGAUCCAUGGUUUGACUAUGCAAUAAAUGUCUUGUAAGUAUGUAUACUUUAUCUCCCACCUAUGAGCUCCAGAUAUCAAAAGCCUUAUUAGAGUAGGAUGAGAGAGAAGGCAAUGUCACUACGCAUUAUACCACAAAUACUACAUAUUUUGAGAGAAGUCAUAUACCAUCACUGCCUUGGUAAGGAUCUAGAAAUACCACAAAAGAGAGAUAUGGGAGAGUCAUACAAGGAAUCUCUGAGUUUUAUUUGAAAAUUUGCAAAAACUCCAGAGCCAUAGCUGAUCAAGAAUAAGAGACAUGGCACUUGACUAGACUGUUCUAUCAUUUAACUACUCAAGACAAAAGUGACGGUUACAAGUCCCAUGGUGAAAGGUAAAAUGAAUAAUUUUUAAAUCUUGACAGUUUACUCUAACUCAGAGAUGAGACCUCAUUUAAAAGCAUGUGUACCGUCAAUUUUGAAAGGCAUUGCAACAACUUCUGAUCCAUCGCUGAGUCUAUCCUUGGUCAGGGACGAGCAAGAGGUAAGCUUGGGGGAGUUUGUUGACGGUCCCUAAGUAUCAAAUUUAAUUAUCAAAUAAACAAAGAAAAGGAUCCAAAUAAAAUCAACAUCUAGACUUAGGGUUUUAUCUGACAGAAUUCCACGAGUUUUGGUGUUUGUCUAUUUCUGCAGGGGGGUAUCAGGAAAUACGGAAGAAAGGCCCACACGUCGGGAUUACAUAGAGAUAUCAACGUGACGCACAAUUAUCUUACAUCUAGAAGACUCCAGAAGCCACAGGAAGGAAGCGGAGGCCGAACGGAGCUAGGCCCUGGGUGCCCGCCUAGUUGACCUAGGCGCCCGCCCCCUCCUGGAGUCCAAACAGGACUCUCUUUCGGGAAAGAGCUCCACCGACCUAAAGGAUCAAGGAUAACCGUUCAAUCAAUGUUGGUUUGAUCCAACGGCCCAUAUUCACUUGAAGGGACUAUAAAACCAGACCCCCUGGCCCCUGGAGGAGAGAGCCUCUCAACCCUAAUUCAUUAUUCUCAAGGGAGAAGAAGCCUCUGAUCAAGUUUAGAGCCACCACAUCAAUUAGACAUCUAGAUUAGCAUAGCUACAUAGGAUUAGAACUAGAAGGAGUCAAUCUUCAAUUGGUUUCUGGAUCUGUCAAGAGGAUUCUUGGUAAUUCUCUUAUUGUUAUUCUAAUUGUUCUUCAAAUCAUCUUUGUUCUUCAAUAUUAUGAAUAUGACUUUGUUCUACUUCAAUAUAUUGCUUAUGACUUUGCUCUACUUAUUUAUAUUCAAGAUUAUAUUGUUCUUAGUUUAUCAUGGUUAUAUAUUUGGUUUAGUUAGGUUGGAAUUAUAUACAUGAUUAGGAUCGUAUAGCGUUUAUCCAUCGGAUCCAUGGGUAAAUGAUAGAUAUUGUGUAGGCGUGGUGCUUAUACCAUAUUUAUCUGCGAUUGUACCCAAUAUGCCAGAUCGUGGGGUAGUUCGUGAUAGUGACAGCUUCAUUGAUUCUUAUAUAGUCCCCCUCUCGUGUAUUGGGCUGGCAGAACAACAUUAUUAUAGGGGAGUGAUUGCUAUGUUUCUCAUAUUCCUUGCUAAUAUCACUAUGCAUGGGCGUAGUCUUGUCUCGCAAUGAUUGCUAAGUAUGCUUGCCCUAACUAUGAUAAUGCUAGACUAUAUAGUUGAGAAUAACUUAGGAAAUAUUCUUGUAGUUCGUUCUAAUUCCAUGCUAAUGACUUUCUAGAAUAUCUAAUUGAGGUGGUUAUCAUAUUUAUAUGUGGCUAGUUAUGCUGAUCAGAUUAAUUAUCUUUGUCACUAUUCAUUACUUGAUAUAUCUUUUCUGUGACACUUACCCCUGUAUGAAAGAGUUAGAUAAAUGUUCUCAAUUAUACAUGCAAUGAUAGAUACUCAAUCUCAUAUUCCGUUCUAUAAUCAAUUUUGAUGAUUGCUAAUCCCUUCCCAGUGGUAAAAAUAUAAAUAACGAUACCUCGAAUACUCCCCGGUGAAAAUGCUACAUCGGAAUUAAUCUGUGCGCUUGCAGAUCCCAUUCAUUAUUUAUUUAGAAGAGCAAUUGCAUAUUUCAAUACAGUGUCUCUCAUGUCAUGCUGGGGAUGACAACUUGGCUUAAGUGGUACGAGGGAUAGGUUUGGCAUUUUUUGCACCGUUAUCAGAAUUAGAAAACUAAGUCUACUUUUGGUAAUAAUGUUAAGAAUACCCAACAGUGGGCACUCUGCUCCACAAACUUUUUGGCUAAGUUCUUUCCCAUGAGCAAGACCAAUGCUCUCUGUGGGAAAAUUACAUGUUUCCAGCAACAACAUGAUGAAUCCGUUCCAGAAGCAUAGGAGCACUUCCAGGACUACAUCCUAGAAUGUCCCUAUCAUGGAAUGGAGAGCUGGCUACUGAUGCCGACGUUUUAUCAUGGGCUCGGCAAUAGUGCCCGAGAGACCAUGGAUGCUGCAGCUGGAGGAGCAUUCCUAUCACUCACCAUAUCACAAGCCACAACUCUUGUGGAGAAGAUGGCGUCCAACCAACGCCGGAAUGAAGAAAAGACCCAGACACGCAAGAGAGGUGGAGGUAUGCAUCAGCUCAAGGAGGUAGACAUGCUGUCUGCAAAGCUAGACCUACUCAUGAAGAAGCUCGAUGAUAAAGCUGGAGACAAGAAAGAAGUUAUGCACAUCUAUGACUCUCACAUGACUUGUGAGGAGUGUGGAGAUACUGGACACUCAGGCAAUCACUGCCCUGAGAUGCUUGAGGAUGUGAACUACAUCAACAACAACAAUAACAAUUACUACAACCAUCCUCAACAAAAUCAAGGCUGGAAUCAACAGAGGCCUAACUACUCAGGUAAUUAUCAAGGUAACAAUUCUUACAACAAUAAUAAUAAUUUUCCACCUCUGAGAGAGUUAGUGUCUAAUCAAGGAAAGCUAAUGGAUAACCUAUCUAAGAAAUUGGCAUCUAAUGAUAAAAUGUUAGAAAAUAUAAAUAAUAGAAUGGAUAAUUUAUCUACUACCAUCAAGAAUCAAAUUAGCUUUAAUAAAAAUAUUGAAUCUCAGUUAAAUCAAAUAGCUGUUGCUGUUCCUGCUACUAACCCAGGUAUACCAUCACAACCGGAAGGAUUAGAAUCUGCAGAUCUUGUAGACAUGUUUGAUGCAGGUAACUACUGGAGUAACCCCGUCACUGAAGUUACUACUGACCUUCUCCCGGUCAAGAGAGGCGAUCCAGGACGCCCCGUCAUCCCGAUCUCCAUCGGCAUGGUGGACUUCCCAGAAGCACUCUGUGACUUUGGCUCUAGUGUCAACAUUAUGCCCAGGGUACUCUAUGGAAACUUCUUUACAUAUCCUUUAUUUGAAACAACCAUGUGUUUGCAGUUUGUAGAUCAAACGCUAAGUUUCCCAAAUGGAAUAUUAAAGAACCUCUGUUUCCGAGUUGGUACCUUGUAUGCCCCAGCAGACUUCGUGGUGAUAGAGACCGGUAAUGAUGAGAGGGCACCCGUCAUCUUAGGGAGGCCAUUCCUGAACACCUUGGGAGCUGUCAUCUACGCUAGUGCUGCCAAUAUCAAUUUCUACAUCAAAGGGUGAAAGGAGACGUUUACCUUGAAGAACAAGACUACACAAAUCCCAGAGCAAUCCCAACAUGAACCAAGGAAGAGGACCAACGGGAGGAACAGGAACAAGCAAGUGUGGACAGAGUCAGCUAAGAUGGUCACUGCAGUUCAUGGAGGUCAAGAUCAUCGACUCAAGUCACCGUUUCUGACCAAGAAGGAUGACCCAGGAAUGCCAAGCAUUCAUUGCUCCAUCAAUGGGUACAACUUCUACAAGACACUUUGCGACACCGGAUCGGGCGUCAAGAUAAUGGCCGCAGUCACCUAUCAGCUCUUGUUCGGAACCAUGCCCUUCAAACCAACAUACAUUCAGCUCUAGAUGGCAGAUCAGACAUUCCGAAAGGUUGAAGGUAUAGUAACUGAUGUCUCUGUCAAAAUAGAUGAUCAUUUUGUCCAUACAGACUUUUAGGUUAUUAACAUGGGAGAAGACGAGUACGACCCACCCAUCAUCCUUGGGAGACCUUUCCUCAGCACCGUUAAAGCAAUUAUCUACAUUGAAACCAGAGAACUCCACAUGCACUUCCCCUCAGAGAAGGUACGCCGCUAUUUUACUGACCCUAAUUAUAUCAUUGAAGACCAGGUCAGGACAAGAAGAAGACGACGCAAGAGGAGGCAAAUCAUCAAGGACGGAUGGGCAGACUACGAAGGAGAAGUUGUAAGGUCUGAAGACAUACAGCUUGAACAGAAUUGUCCUAAGGAGACCGUAGCACCGAGUCAGGUGUGGAGAGAGAAGAUAGAUAUACAUGAAGAAGAGGCGCCGCCGGAACCACCUACUACGACAUCCAGUGAAUUCCAGGAUGACUAAGAAAACAGAGAGUCCCGUUCGGAGGACUUAAAAACACCGAACGCCUUGCCAAGAGGUAAACUUGGUAGUUAUCCUUUUCCUUUCAACUAUUUCAAAAAGUCCACUUAGUUAAUUAGGUACGUACUAUCCUAAAAAAGAAAAUAAAAAUGUUAAAAAAUAGUAAGCCCCAUGUGAGUAUACAAGUGGCAUAAAACCCAUAAGUACAUUCACUGUGGUGGCAUAAAAAUAAAAUACAUAUAUUCGUCCUCUAUAAAAUUAAAAUAUAAAAAUAGAGAGUAACACUUAUUGAGGAGGCUCAACAUGAUAAAGGCCAGAUAUUUAUGCUAACACCUAAUCAGUUCCACAAAGAUUUGUUGUCUAUUUGAGCUUUCACGGUACUGCCAACUUUCAAAGACACCUCUGCCACCUGCUAGCUACAUGAGAAGAAAUUACGUCAAAAUUCAGCUUGGGGGAGAGCACCCCCAUUUAUCCCGCUAAGUAUUUCUAUCUACAUUUAUACAUAUACUACAUUAAAAUAUAAAUAUACAUAACCAUGAAAAACCAAAUAAAGAAUUUGUGCUUAUAUAUAUCUUUUGCUUAGUAUGCUUAAUAAAUAAAUAAAGUGGCUAUGCUAAACUGAAUCUUAAUAAUAGAACUCUAGCAUGCAUAUGAUGAAUAGUUAUUGUGCCUAAUUUUCAAAUUUGAAGUUCUCUCUAGUUUAGACAUAACUGUUAUAAUUUAAAGCUUGCUCUAGACCUGAACUUGUGGGAAGAGAACUUGAUCUGAAGUCUAAGUUGUUAACGGAUAUGAGAUGGGAAGGUUGAGCUGCUGUUUAUCUGUUCCUAGAGAUGCUAGAAAUCUGGAGAAUUUUACCUUUGAAAAUCUUUAAAAUAACACAUGAUGAGUUCCUGUAUGAUGAGAGUUUAAAUUCCUACCAUAGCCAUAUAUGCAUGCUUGCUAGACUUUGAGCCACACAUUUAUUUUUUUUACUACUUAUGAGCAUUGAGUAUGGUCAAGCUGUGUAGACCCUUAGGAGCUUGUCAUGUGGUUAAAUCAAGAUUCACUUGCACGUUCACUCACACAUGCUGCUUCUACUCCGGAAGUACGCAUCCACAUAUAUCCACUCAUUUCCAUCUCCAGAACCACCCAAAAGUAUUCUACUCCUAAUCCGGGAGAGAAUAGCCAAAAUAUUUCAGUUUUUCCCUAUGAAACAAAUGCUCAAGUUAUCUUGGUUACUACCACUUGCUACAUUAUUUCAAGAAAUGAGUGCUCUAAAAAAAGAAGAAGAAAAAGUAUACGAGGAAAUAAAUAGGGGCAAGUGCCCGGAACCUCGAAAGAAAAUAAAAAGUGAGACGAGAGGUAAAAAUAUACAAGUGUCCGACAGUAGAAUUAGGGGUACAAGAUACCCACCUGUGAGGAAAGAAAAAGAAAAUAUAAAGCAUCUCACUCUCCUCAAAAGUUUCAAAAGAGCAAGAAAGGUAUGUAUUCCCUCAAAAGAGCAAAAGUAUAAUUAGAAUUUCACCAUUGUUAUCACCAUCAUCACCAUACAUCAUUCAUUCGCCACACAUUCUCAUCUUGAUUUGACUUAUUGACUUGUAUCUUUGGAUCCAUGGUUUGACUAUGCAAUAAAUGUCUUAUAAGUAUGUAUACUUUAUCUCCCACCUAUGAGCUCCAGAUAUCAAAGCCUUAUUAGAGUAGGGUGAGAGAGAAGGCAAUGUCACUAUGCCUCGUACCAAAAAUACCA